CCAAUAGCGUAUAUUAAAGUUGUUGCAGUUAAAAAGCUCGUAGUUGAAUUUCGAGAUCAAAUUGUUGGUCGUGCCUUGGUACGCACUGGCAUUAUUGGUUUCUCCCUUCUGAAGAACCAUGAUGUCAUUAAUUUGGUGUCUUGGGGAAUCAGGACUGUUACUUUGAAAAAAUUAGAGUGUUUAAAGCAGGCUCGCGCUUGAAUACAUUAGCAUGGAAUAAUGAAAUAGGACGUUUGAUUCUAUUUUGUUGGUUUCUAGGAUCGACGUAAUGAUUAAUAGGGAUAGUUGGGGGCAUUAGUAUUCAAUUGUCAGAGGUGAAAUUCUUGGAUUUAUUGAAGACUAACUACUGCGAAAGCAUUUGCCAAGGAUGUUUUCAUUAAUCAAGAACGAAAGUUAGGGGAUCGAAGACGAUCAGAUACCGUCGUAGUCUUAACCAUAAACUAUGCCGACUAGGGAUCGGAUGAUGUUAAUUUUUUAAUGACUCAUUCGGCGCCUUACG
rnacentral:misc_RNA from 1 species